GAUCCUGGCUCAGAUUGAACGCUGGCGGCAUGCCUUACACAUGCAAGUCGAACGGCAGCAUGGAGAGCUUGCUCUCUGAUGGCGAGUGGCGAACGGGUGAGUAAUACAUCGGAACGUGUCCGUUUGUGGGGGACAACCGUCCGAAAGGAUGGCUAAUACCGCAUAAGACCUGAGGGUGAAAGCCGGGGACCGCAAGGCCCGGCGCAGACGGAGCGGCCGACGAUUGAUUAGCUAGUUGGGG
rnacentral:rRNA from 1 species